rnacentral:rRNA from 1 species
AGCGUACACGGUGGAUGCCCUGGCAGUCAGAGGCGAUGAAGGACGUGCUAAUCUGCGAUAAGCGUCGGUAAGGUGAUAUGAACCGUUAUAACCGGCGAUUUCCGAAUGGGGAAACCCAGUGUGAUUCGUCACACUAUCAUUAACUGAAUCCAUAGGUUAAUGAGGCGAACCGGGGGAACUGAAACAUCUAAGUACCCCGAGGAAAAGAAAUCAACCGAGAUUCCCCCAGUAGCGGCGAGCGAACGGGGAGCAGCCCAGAGCCUGAAUCAGUGUGUGUGUUAGUGGAAGCGUCUGGAAAGGCGCGCGAUACAGGGUGACAGCCCCGUACACAAAAAUGCACAUGCUGUGAGCUCGAUGAGUAGGGCGGGACACGUGGUAUCCUGUCUGAAUAUGGGGGGACCAUCCUCCAAGGCUAAAUACUCCUGACUGACCGAUAGUGAACCAGUACCGUGAGGGAAAGGCGAAAAGAACCCCGGCGAGGGGAGUGAAAAAGAACCUGAAACCGUGUACGUACAAGCAGUGGGAGCACGCUUAGGCGUGUGACUGCGUACCUUUUGUAUAAUGGGUCAGCGACUUAUAUUCUGUAGCAAGGUUAACCGAAUAGGGGAGCCGAAGGGAAACCGAGUCUUAACUGGGCGUUAAGUUGCAGGGUAUAGACCCGAAACCCGGUGAUCUAGCCAUGGGCAGGUUGAAGGUUGGGUAACACUAACUGGAGGACCGAACCGACUAAUGUUGAAAAAUUAGCGGAUGACUUGUGGCUGGGGGUGAAAGGCCAAUCAAACCGGGAGAUAGCUGGUUCUCCCCGAAAGCUAUUUAGGUAGCGCCUCGUGAAUUCAUCUCCGGGGGUAGAGCACUGUUUCGGCAAGGGGGUCAUCCCGACUUACCAACCCGAUGCAAACUACGAAUACCGGAGAAUGUUAUCACGGGAGACACACGGCGGGUGCUAACGUCCGUCGUGAAGAGGGAAACAACCCAGACCGCCAGCUAAGGUCCCAAAGUCAUGGUUAAGUGGGAAACGAUGUGGGAAGGCCCAGACAGCCAGGAUGUUGGCUUAGAAGCAGCCAUCAUUUAAAGAAAGCGUAAUAGCUCACUGGUCGAGUCGGCCUGCGCGGAAGAUGUAACGGGGCUAAACCAUGCACCGAAGCUGCGGCAGCGACGCUUAUGCGUUGUUGGGUAGGGGAGCGUUCUGUAAGCCUGCGAAGGUGUGCUGUGAGGCAUGCUGGAGGUAUCAGAAGUGCGAAUGCUGACAUAAGUAACGAUAAAGCGGGUGAAAAGCCCGCUCGCCGGAAGACCAAGGGUUCCUGUCCAACGUUAAUCGGGGCAGGGUGAGUCGACCCCUAAGGCGAGGCCGAAAGGCGUAGUCGAUGGGAAACAGGUUAAUAUUCCUGUACUUGGUGUUACUGCGAAGGGGGGACGGAGAAGGCUAUGUUGGCCGGGCGACGGUUGUCCCGGUUUAAGCGUGUAGGCUGGUUUUCCAGGCAAAUCCGGAAAAUCAAGGCUGAGGCGUGAUGACGAGGCACUACGGUGCUGAAGCAACAAAUGCCCUGCUUCCAGGAAAAGCCUCUAAGCAUCAGGUAACAUCAAAUCGUACCCCAAACCGACACAGGUGGUCAGGUAGAGAAUACCAAGGCGCUUGAGAGAACUCGGGUGAAGGAACUAGGCAAAAUGGUGCCGUAACUUCGGGAGAAGGCACGCUGAUAUGUAGGUGAAGUCCCUCGCGGAUGGAGCUGAAAUCAGUCGAAGAUACCAGCUGGCUGCAACUGUUUAUUAAAAACACAGCACUGUGCAAACACGAAAGUGGACGUAUACGGUGUGACGCCUGCCCGGUGCCGGAAGGUUAAUUGAUGGGGUUAGCGCAAGCGAAGCUCUUGAUCGAAGCCCCGGUAAACGGCGGCCGUAACUAUAACGGUCCUAAGGUAGCGAAAUUCCUUGUCGGGUAAGUUCCGACCUGCACGAAUGGCGUAAUGAUGGCCAGGCUGUCUCCACCCGAGACUCAGUGAAAUUGAACUCGCUGUGAAGAUGCAGUGUACCCGCGGCAAGACGGAAAGACCCCGUGAACCUUUACUAUAGCUUGACACUGAACAUUGAGCCUUGAUGUGUAGGAUAGGUGGGAGGCUUUGAAGUGUGGACGCCAGUCUGCAUGGAGCCGACCUUGAAAUACCACCCUUUAAUGUUUGAUGUUCUAACGUUGACCCGUAAUCCGGGUUGCGGACAGUGUCUGGUGGGUAGUUUGACUGGGGCGGUCUCCUCCUAAAGAGUAACGGAGGAGCACGAAGGUUGGCUAAUCCUGGUCGGACAUCAGGAGGUUAGUGCAAUGGCAUAAGCCAGCUUGACUGCGAGCGUGACGGCGCGAGCAGGUGCGAAAGCAGGUCAUAGUGAUCCGGUGGUUCUGAAUGGAAGGGCCAUCGCUCAACGGAUAAAAGGUACUCCGGGGAUAACAGGCUGAUACCGCCCAAGAGUUCAUAUCGACGGCGGUGUUUGGCACCUCGAUGUCGGCUCAUCACAUCCUGGGGCUGAAGUAGGUCCCAAGGGUAUGGCUGUUCGCCAUUUAAAGUGGUACGCGAGCUGGGUUUAGAACGUCGUGAGACAGUUCGGUCCCUAUCUGCCGUGGGCGCUGGAGAACUGAGGGGGGCUGCUCCUAGUACGAGAGGACCGGAGUGGACGCAUCACUGGUGUUCGGGUUGUCAUGCCAAUGGCACUGCCCGGUAGCUAAAUGCGGAAGAGAUAAGUGCUGAAAGCAUCUAAGCACGAAACUUGCCCCGAGAUGAGUUCU